CAGCGCUCCUGGCAGCUCAUCCUGGGACAGCCUGGUCCUCCCAGCACCUCCAGAACCUGCUCCUUUGGGUGUGCUAGCUCCAUAGGCACCCUGAGACUGCUGAUUCCCCAACACCAGCAGCCCCACAUGGUGUCCCGGCCCACGGGAGGGUCAAAUGUGCUGAAUGGACAUCCCCUGGGGUGGGGCUUUUGCUUAGAUAUGUGGUGGCAGCUUUGAGGAGGGCGGGAGGCCGUGGGCACAGCUUGGUGGCUUGGGGAUACUCCUGGAGAAGGGCCUUUUGUAGCUGUUUGGCUCUCUAUCCCAGAUGGUCCCAGCCACCCCAGAGAGCAAGCACCUCUCCAGCCCCUGUCCCAAGCUGGAUGAGUACCGAGCACAGGCUGGCUUUUCCUCGGACAUGCAACCUCCACGCUCCCAUCGGGCAACCUACUAAGUGCAGGAGGCACCAACAGAGAGGAGCAGCAUGCCAGGCACUUUUCUGCAUUUAGCACUUUACUCCAUACCUCAGUUUCUUCACAGAUCAUGUGACCAGCUUAUCAGCUAGCCACAUUCCAAAUGAUGGAAAAGCUGCGGUGCUGCAGGGAGCCUGUCAGAGCAAACACUUUGUCACCCACCCCUGCCGUAUCCUCAGAUCAGCACUUCUGGGGAAAGUCAAGUUUGAAAAGGAAGUUUCCUGAGUGCAUACAGAAGUAAAUCCCUUAGUGUUCUGGGUUGACAGCCUGACCCUGCCCUUCUCCACCUGAACAAGCAAGCCCAGAAGGAAGGUCUUGAGCCUCACCACAGCACACUGGAGGAGGAAAUGGCCAGCAACCUUUAGAGACAGGAAACAAAUAGCAACAAGCAAAACCACUGUUCAAGGACCCAGCCUUUCGAAAAUCCAAAGGAUGCAGACAUGCAAAAGGCGAAGGUCUCUUAUAAUCCUGUCCCCAGAGCUCAUGGUCACAGGAGGGCUGCUGCUAUUCAAGACAUCACCUCCACAUUCCAAGAAGGGGAGCAGAGGGACCAAUACCCUUUUAUCAGGAGACACAGCUUCCCCAGAAACUUCCACCUCCGCUUCCACUUACAACUCACUGGCUAGAACUCUAUCACUCGGUACCCUGGCAGUCAAGGAAACAAUAAAAGGACAGCGCUGUUGACAUUGACUAGCUCCAGUCAAAUCAAGUCCUUGGAACAUCCCACUCAAGGAUCAAAUUCCAGGGGGCAUGUCUAAUUGACCCAGGAGGUGGUGAGGUGCUUGGCGAAGCAACUGUGUUCAGCGAUGGAGCUGGUCGCCUCCAAAGCAAGGUGAAGGCACCAUCAUCUGAAGGUGAAUGGAGCAGCCAGAGUGUUAAGUUCUACAGAAAUGAACAGAAGAAGAAAUGCCCAUGCCACCUUAAUGUGUGCCAAGAAUUCAAAGCAUGUAUCUCCACCAUAUUCUCACCUGUUCAUUCCUGCCUAAACUGUCAGGAAAGAAAGGGGGCCCUUUCACACACUCCCCCAGGGGAUUCAGCCACAGUCCUAUGUCCCAAAAUUCAGCUAGUGCCAACACCUUGUCUCAAAGACUGGGUAAGAUCUGGCUGGUCCAGGAGGCCUGAGAAGAAUCCACUAGUGCGACAGCCCUGGUCUGUUGUAGAGUUACCCUCUGUCCAGUCUGUAACUCCAUCCAACCACACAAUAAAUUUGGUGUUUGCAACUUUG